GGGCGGUUAGCUCAUUCAGUUAGAGCGUGGUGCUGAUAAAACCAAGGUUACGGGUUCGAUCCCCGUAUGGGCCA
rnacentral:tRNA from 1 species